UACGUAGGCAGCAAGCGUUGUUCGGAGUUACUGGGCGUAAAGGGUGUGUAGGCGGUUCUCUAAGUCUGGUGUGAAAUCUCCCGGCUCAACUGGGAGGGUGCGCCGAAAACUGGAGGACUAGAGUGCGGGAUGGGAGAGUGGAAGUUCCUGGUGUAGCGGUGAAAUGCGUAGAUAUCAGGAGGAACACCUGUGGUGUAGACGGCUCUCUGGACCGCAACUGACGCUGAGACACGAAAGCGUGGGUAGCAAACAGG
rnacentral:rRNA from 1 species